rnacentral:rRNA from 1 species
CGUGUGCUUACAAGUAGUCAGAGCCCGUUAAUGGGUGAUGGCGUGCCUUUUGUAGAAUGAACCGGCGAGUUACGAUUUGAUGCAAGGUUAAGCAGUAAAUGUGGAGCCGUAGCGAAAGCGAGUCUGAAUAGGGCGUUUAGUAUUUGGUCGUAGACCCGAAACCAGGUGAUCUACCCUUGGUCAGGUUGAAGUUCAGGUAACACUGAAUGGAGGACCGAACCGACUUACGUUGAAAAGUGAGCGGAUGAACUGAGGGUAGCGGAGAAAUUCCAAUCGAACCUGGAGAUAGCUGGUUCUCUCCGAAAUAGCUUUAGGGCUAGCCUCAAGUGAUGAUUAUUGGAGGUAGAGCACUGUUUGGACGAGGGGCCCCUCUCGGGUUACCGAAUUCAGACAAACUCCGAAUGCCAAUUAAUUUAACUUGGGAGUCAGAACAUGGGUGAUAAGGUCCGUGUUCGAAAGGGAAACAGCCCAGACCACCAGCUAAGGUCCCAAAAUAUAUGUUAAGUGGAAAAGGAUGUGGCGUUGCCCAGACAACUAGGAUGUUGGCUUAGAAGCAGCCAUCAUUUAAAGAGUGCGUAAUAGCUCACUAGUCGAGUGACACUGCGCCGAAAAUGUACCGGGGCUAAACAUAUUACCGAAGCUGUGGAUUGUCCUUUGGACAAUGGUAGGAGAGCGUUCUAAGGGCGUUGAAGCAUGAUCGUAAGGACAUGUGGAGCGCUUAGAAGUGAGAAUGCCGGUGUGAGUAGCGAA